rnacentral:rRNA from 1 species
CUACGGGAGGCAGCAGUGGGGAAUAUUGCGCAAUGGGGGAAACCCUGACGCAGCAACGCCGCGUGGGUGAUGAAGGCUUUCUGGUCGUAAAGCCCUGUCAGAGGGGAAGAACCGGCAGAGUAGGAAAUGGCUCUGCCCUGACGGUACCCUCAGAGGAAGCACCGGCUAACUCCGUGCCAGCAGCCGCGGUAACACGGGGGGUGCAAGCGGUUGUUCGGAUUCACUGGGCGUAAAGCGCGUGUAGGCGGAAAGGUAAGUCAGAUGUGAAAGCCCGGGGCUCAACUCCGGAUGUGCAUUUGAAACUGCCUGUCUAGAGUAGGGUAGAGGGAAGGGGAAUUCCCGGUGUAGAGGUGAAAUUCGUAGAUAUCGGGAGGAAUACCGGUGGCGAAGGCGCCUUCCUGGACCAAUACUGACGCUGAGACGCGAAAGCGUGGGGAGCAAACAGGAUUAGAUACCCUUGUAGUC